AACAAGGAUUCCCUUAGUAAC
rnacentral:snRNA from 1 species